rfam:Nicotiana attenuata strain TT chromosome 6, whole genome shotgun sequence.
AACAGUAUUGCAAUAGUAAUUUAACCUAGUACGAGAGAAACGGUUGAUUCACACAAUCGGUCAUUGCGCUUGGCUGAAAAGCCAGUGGCACGAAGCUACCGUGUGCUGGAUUAUAAAUGAAUGCCUCUAAGUCAAAAUCCGGGUUAGAAGCAAUGCAUGUACUGUUGUCCUCUUGCCAACCCGCAGUAGGGGCACGUGUCGUCGGCUAAGUCAUCGCGGCGGAACAGCCGCAGUGACCGCAUUGAACUACAAUUUCCAUUGAGCGGCUGGUAGAAUAUCUUUUGCAGACAACUUAAUAUGCGAUGGGGUAUUGUAAGUAUCCAUUGAGCUUCAGUCCUUUGUCGCUCUGAUUC